rnacentral:misc_RNA from 1 species
AAUACGCAAACCGCCUCUCCCCGCGCGUUGGCCGAUUCAUUAAUGCAGCUGGCACGACAGGUUUCCCGACUGGAAAGCGGGCAGUGAGCGCAACGCAAUUAAUGUGAGUUAGCUCACUCAUUAGGCACCCCCAGGCUUUACACUUUAUGCUUCCGGCUCGUAUGUUGUGUGGAAUUGUGAGCGGAUAACAAUUUCACACAGGAAACAGCUAUGACCAUGAUUACGNCAAGCUAUUUAGGUGACACUAUAGAAUACUCAAGCUAUGCAUCCAACGCGUUGGGAGCUCUCCCAUAUGGUCGACCUGCAGGCGGCCGCGAAUUCACUAGUGAUUUCCGUAGGUGAACCUGCGGAAGGAUCAUUACUGAAAAACUAUUUUAAGUUUUUUAUAUCCCAUUGUUUACUUACCCUGUUGCUUUCACUGGACAGAUUUCACCUUGUGUGGGUCCUUUGGCUUGUGUGAAAUACCACUUGCCAAAGAGUUGCCAGUGGUAAGACCUAUUUAUCAAAACUUGAGUUUCAAUAAACACAACUGUCUGAAUAUUUUUUUUCUUUAAUGAAAUAAAACUUUCAACAACGGAUCUCUAGGCUCUUGCAUCGAUGAAGAACGCAGUGAAAUGCGAUAAGUAAUGUGAAUUGCAGAAUCUCGUGAAUCAUUGAAUCUUUGAACGCACAUUGCGCCCUAUGGUAUUCCAUUGGGCAUGCCUGUCUGAGCGUCAGCUCCCCCUCCACUCAAGAAUCAUUUUAUAUGAUACUUGGAUUACUUUGGAGAUGUAACUGUAUAUUAAGUUGCCCUCCAGAAAUUUAUUGGCAGUAUGGUUUGUACUUGGACCAGACGUAAUAGUAAUAAAAUCGUUUGUUUGGGUAUAAUUGAUUGUACUUGCCUUAACCCCCACCCAUUUUUAUUUUGGGUGACCUCAGAUCAGGUAGGGAUACCCGCUGAACUUAAGCAUAUCAAUAAGCGGAGGAAAUCGAAUUCCCGCGGCCGCCAUGGCGGCCGGGAGCAUGCGACGUCGGGCCCAAUUCGCCCUAUAGUGAGUCGUAUUACAAUUCACUGGCCGUCGUUUUACAACGUCGUGACUGGGAAAACCCUGGCGUUACCCAACUUAAUCGCCUUGCAGCACAUCCCCCUUUCGCCAGCUGGCGUAAUAGCGAAGAGGCCCGCACCGAUCGCCCUUCCCAACAGUUGCGCAGCCUGAAUGGCGAAUGG